GACUCUCAGCAACGGAUAUCUCGGCUCUCGCAUCGAUGAAGAACGUAGCAAAAUGCGAUACCUGGUGUGAAUUGCAGAAUCCCGCGAACCAUCGAGUUUUCGAACGCAAGUUGCGCCCGAGGCCUUCCGGCCGAGGGCACGUCUGCCUGGGCGUCA
rnacentral:rRNA from 1 species